CCUUUGAUAUCAGCUUGUUCCAGGAGGUGAGAACUAGAUGGCCGCCUGGUGGCCGGGGGAAGGCAGAGAGGUGAGAAUGGAUCCUCUGGAGGAUGAGCCAAGGAGACCCUGGAGGACCAGGACGAGCCCGAGGCCCGAUGGAGAGGCAGAGGCAGAACUGCUGCUGAGGCCCAGAUCAGGCACCAGCAUCUGGGCUUCAGGGAGACCCAGGGGAACACGGCCCAUCAAAAGCCCUCUGGCUCUGUCCCUCCAUCUGUCCCCAGUCACCCGGCCCCUCCUGGGCCCACUUGGCUUCCCUCUCCUGCAUCUCCAGAGGCAGCAGCUUUGGGGGAGCACGCUCUCCCCUGGGGCCCUGACGCUGCGCAAAGUUGUUGCUUAGGAGGAGGAAACAAGGCUGACUGCAUUUUCUAAAGAGGCUCCAGGGAGUGGCAGCCGCCUGUGAGGCUGGCAAUGGGGGCCUGUCCACCCUCACCGUGGCGGAGCUGGGACACAGGUGGAGCAGGGGCUCCAGCGGGUGUGUGUGCAAGUGUGUUGACAGGUGUGCUCGCUCUCAAGUUGAUGGAGCAACACGUGGUGGGCAGGCCCUGAGCUGGGGGAGGAGACACCGAGGGGGGAGCAGGCCAUUCCUUGGCUGCCUGGAGCUCCUGCAGGUGGAUGGGCACAGAGAAACCACCUUCCGCCUGGUAAGUACCAAAGAGCCGGGGGGCUCACCCAGCCUGCCAGGUCAGGAAGGCUCCCUGGGGAGGAACUGAUGUGUCCACCCUGGGGAAGGAAGAUGGGAAGGGCAUUCCCGGCAAGAGAACAGCAUGUGAGGAGGCCCAGAGGCACAGAAGGAGACACAGGUUUGCCACCUGCAAGGAUUUUCAUGUGGUUAGAGGGGAGAAGGUGGGGGUGAUAAGCAGGGUUGAGGUGGGGGUGUUGGACAAAGGCAGUUGUAUGAGGCCUGGGCAAUGCACCUAGACGCUUGGGUUUUCUGCUGAGGGCAAUGAGGAGCCACAGAAGAAAAUCAUCUGAUCUGACUGAGCUUUAAAAGAUCACUCUAGGGCCAGCCAACACCCCAUCCAGCUCUCCAGAGCCCCAGCUCAAGGCCCUUGGCAUCACAAUGGGCGUGCCCCGAUGAGUCUGCCUCCUGGGUUGGGGGGGUGGGGGUGGGGCCACAUUGUGGGCAUGCUCAUAGCCACGGGAUGCAGCGCACAGUACAGAUCUGCUGUGUCGCCAUAUUUCUCUCGGGCAAUGCAUCCCCUCCCUACUUUACAGAUGGCUAUAGCAAAGAUGAUUAUAUAUCAGAAAAACAGGCCAUGUGAUUAAUCAUGUCAGUUACCAGAAGGGGAAAAGUUAGGUGGCAAUCUUAACAGACACCAAAGAAUCAUUUGAUAAAAUUGAACAUCCAUCCUGAUGAAAAGUCUUAGUAAAAUAAAAAUAAGAGAAUAUUUCCUUGACAUACUAAAAAAAAAAUCCAUCUGCCGACAGCCAGCAUCAUUCUCAGCCACAAAACACCCGCAGGAAGUAUUCAUAUUUAAGUCAGAGCAGGACAAGAGUGCCUGUUAUUAUGACAAUUAGUUUACAUUGUUCUCUAAGUUCUAGCCAAUGCGAUAGCACCUUAAAAAUCAAAAUAAAAAGAAGCAUGACUUUCGGGAGGGAGGGAAACUGCUACCAUUAUUUGUUCAUGAUGUGAUUGUUCAUCCUGAAAACUCAAGAGAAUCAACUGAAAAACUAACGAGCCCAUGAGAGAGGUCAGUCAGAUGGUCAGUAUCAAAAUAAGUAAAUCCAACAGCAAAAUCCAGUUAGAAUAUGUAAAAGAUUGGGGGGUCUCCCACGUGAGUUCCUCAGUGGCUCCCCACACCUUGAGAACAUGGAGUGAGGAAGCAGCCCAGGGACGCUCAAAUCUCAGGACUAAGCUCCAAGCACCAGGGCCCUGGUGGGGAGCAAAGGAAGAUGGGCAGAACUGGAGAGUCAGGGCGAGGAGGAGGGUCCCCUGCAGCAUCUUCCAGGGCUGGCAACAGUCGGGCUUUGACUAGGAGCUGCCCAGCCUCUGGGCCUGGUUCCCAGCAGCCCUGGGACGACGAGACCGGGUGGCUCCCAAUGGGUCAGUGAGCCUGGACUCACUCAGGCACGGGACCUGCCCCCGGAGGUUCCAGGCUAUGCUGGACAUGGGGUGGAGGGAGUGCAGACUCUGAUGGAGAGUCUUCAUCCACUACAGGGUACAGAGUCCCAGCAAGUGAGAUUCCAGUUAAAAGAGUAUUCCUCAACAUCUGAAGGACUGAUGACAAAUUGUUCCUCUGGAUUCGUUAAAGCAUAUUUCCCAAGAGAACCUGUCCAUGGCAAAGAGAUCCACCCAGCCAACGUCCCAGCUCCGCUCCGAUACCAGGGUCUCACUCCCAGCUCUCUGCCUCCAGACGCCCAGCAACUGGGCCCUUCUUGCUUGGGGUGGCACAAUUCCCCCAGAGGCACCCAGCAGGGCUGCAGGUGCCCAGGCACUGGCAGUGUCGCUCCCAGUGCACAUUCUCACAAAGCUCCACCUGCACCAGAAAGCCACUGCGGCCACCAGCCCAGGGACGGGACAGUCAUCUCCCAGUGCCUGAAAGCAGGAAACUAAUGAGGGGCAGUGUGGUGCUUCAAACCCCCUCGGGAAGCUGUGGUGGCCCAGGGGUGCAGAGAAGGAAAGGGGGGAAGAAACAAACACGUCUCGAGCACCCACUCUGCGCUUCGCCUCUGAUGUCCAUGAAAUCCACUACCAUUGGGCACAGGCGUUACUUACACCUGGACUCACAGCCUGGCCACUUGGGCUCCACAGCGCACGUUCUCAAGCGCCGGACCCUGGCUGAUCCUUAGAAGACCAAGCUUUACAUGGCAAGCCCCUGGGUGCUCACCAGAUGCAGACCUCCUCGCAAACCCACCCCCUGCUCCAUGGCCAGAUCUGCUUGGGUGUCCUCAUCUGCCUUGGUGCCUAGAAUUACUCCAUGAAUGCUUUCUGUCCUUCGGAUCAGAACUGUCCUCCUGUGGGUGCUCUGUGACCAUCAGGGUCUCCCUGUGAGGGGCCACGCUCAGCACCACGCCCCCCGGGAAGGGAGCUUUUCAGGCAGGACAAGGGGUGGGGCACAGAAAGGAAAAGAGAGCACUGAUCGUUUUGCAGGCUCUGUCUCAGUGCCCAGCCCCCACCCUCCCUACUUCUGUAAACUCAGUUAUCUACAGUCCCCUCCUCAAGCCCAGAGUCUGGGGGAAGAUGCUGGGGAGUGGAUUUGCUUGGCCUAGCUCACCGAGUCCCCCUGGCUCCUUGAUCUUGUCACCACAGAAACCUCGUGGAGUCACCAGUUUCAUUAAAAUGGGGGAGAAACUCUCUGCCUCUGCUUGGUUCUGUGCGGGAGUGAGGAGGUUGGCGGGGAAAGACCUAACCCCAUCCUCAGGGACGGAAGAGCCCCUGAUGCCCGGGGUGCUGGCUGCUCAGACACAAGUCUUCCACCUCCCUGAAGUUUCUCAGGCAUCCUUGCCAGGAAGAGCGAAUCCUAUAGUUUUGUGCACAUGCCCAGCGAGCUUCACGCUGCACCUGGAGACUGGGAAGGGCUCUUCCCAGGCAAUGCUGAGUAAAUGCUCAUCUAGCAGACUUGGGGAGCUGCUGUUAAGGAAGAGAGAGGGAGCCAGAGUUCUGGACCACUGCACUCACCACCACCACCACCGUCAACACUGCCACCACCCGCACUACCAUCUCACUCGCAGUACCACCACCCCAUCUUCACCGUUGACACUGCGCUCACCAUCACCACCGCUGUUAAAUGUCACCAACACUGUCCUCGCCACACGGCCAUGCAUCAUUAUCGUCACCACCACGGCACUCAGCACAUCACCAUCAUUUGAAGGGAAAGGAUGUCUCCCUUCACAAAACCAAUUGAUAGACUAAUCAAUCAAUCAAUCAAUUUUAAGCCCUUUAAUGGAGGCGGUAGAGGAAUCCGUGUAGGGAGGGGCUUCUGGAUUACAUGGUCCCCGGUGUUACUCCCCGGGCUUCUUCAUCCUUCAGGGAAUCUGUCACUUGUCACUGUGGCCACCAAAGUGGCUGCAGGGGCUCUUUCUUUGAUGCCUUGGGACAUAACUGAGACAGAGCUAGAUCAUUUACAAUAAGUGAGACAAUAACUCAAGCUGCUGGUGACAGUGAGGUCCACACAGACUUCCUGAAAGCAGUUUAGCAAUACAACAAAGGCUUUGGAAAGUGCAUUUUCAGAAAUUUUACUUCUAAGAACCGAUCCCAAGGAAAUGAUUAGAUAAAUGUGCAAAUGAUUAGAUAAAUGUGCAAAUGUGGGUGUUAUAAUAGCAAAAGUUGGAAAUAGCCUAAAUGCAUAGCAAAAAAAAGAGAUGGUUUAAAGAAACCAUAUGAACUAAUAUGCAGCCAUUAAAACAGAAAAUAUAGAUGUGUCUAUUGAUAUAAAACUAUGCUAACUCUAUAUUGUUCAUGAACAAAAGCAGGUUUCAGAUCAGCAUUUAUAGAAUAACAUUCCUAAAAAAGUGUGUUCAUGAAACAAGGUGAAAAUAUUUUAUUUUAACAGCUGGCACCAAAAUUCUUCUUAGACAAGAUACUGUCUUUGGGAAAAUACUUGGGGCAGCUGUUCAGACAGAUGAUCAUUGCAAACCACUCAGCAUGAGACAAGGAGAAGAAAUCCUUUUGCUCUUGAGGAAGAUGGCAGAGAGGUGCAAAGAUCAGAGAAGAAGGGAGAGAGACAGGGAAGCUGGUGUGGAGGAGAGAGGGCGGACACGUGCCAGGAAACCCCCCAGGGGUGUGGGCGGACGCAGGAAGGCUGUUAAGAGCUGGGACCUCUGCCCUUUGCUCGUGGGCUGCAGGAUGGGCCACGCCUUCUUGUCCCCGACACCAAACGUUCAGUCAAGUCUCCUAAGUGCUCAGAGUUUCUGCACAGAAUUGGAUAAGGGGCCGAGUUUCAGGUCUGAUCUACCCCCAGGUGGUCCUUUCUGGUGAAGUAAAUUAUGGGUGGUGCAAAUACUUUUUAGUUUUGUUUAUUUGUAUUUUCUGAUUUUCUACAGUAAACAUUAAAGGAAAAAUUCAGAAACCACACACAGGGAAGAGAGUCAGAUGGGACGAUAAUCUGAGUUAAAAAGCGUGGGCUACACCCUCCCACCACAGACCCCCGCUGCCUUCAUGCUGUGGGCAUCGUCUUGACACCUGCCUCCAUUCAGGAACAUCCAUUCAGAUGUCUCAGCACCUGGAAGCCUGGUCCCAGGAGAGUAAAAUUCCGGGGCAGGCACAGGGAAUCCCCAUCCCAGUGCCUGAGCCUGGACCUAUCUUCUCAUUCUGGCCUCUGUCCAGAGGGCCCACAUCUUCCUGCAGGGUUUACAAUAGGAAUGACCUCCCCUUUUAAGGGGUGUCCUGCCACUUACAAGAACUUAGACAUGUGGCCUGUCACAAGACAGUGUCUUAAGACAGCACCACGGCAGUUCCAGCAAUCAUACAACAAGUGCGCGCACACGGCAAGCAGGGUGCUCGUCUGGCUUGGAAUACUCCCGCCCCCACCCCCACCAUCGCCUCAUCGCCGCCACAAGCCCCAGCCUCCUUUGUGUCCGAGCAGUGUGCGCGCAUCCAGUCCCACCUACAGUGGGGCUUAGCUUGAGGUGGGCCUGGAAGGACACUACGAAGAAGGAAGUGGGGGAGGGUCAUGGUGUCCCUGAGCCGCACAAACCCCGUGCAGUUCCUUCCCUUGGUAUUCAGUGCAAUAAUGUAGCUGGUAAUGGGUUUGUUUGCAUUCAGUUGGAUGACACUGUUAGUUAUGAAUUUAUAAUUUGUACAGGGAUAAGGCUUUUUUUUUCCUUCGAGGCGUCAGAGAAGCUGUUGCUUACAAACUUGUAAUUUGCCACUGCAAAUCCAUCUGUAAAUGACACUAUUGCAAACUGAAACCCUCCCAGGCACAAGGAAUACAGCCUUAGAAUUAAACUGUGUGUUUGACAAGAACCUGCCUUUCUGUCCCGCCCCAGCCCUGUUGGCUCCCCCUUCUUCCUGGGCUCAGCCUUGGCUUUGGCCCCUGCGGCUCUCAUUCCCCAGCAAUCCAGCCCCAAGCCCCUGCUCCUCUCCUUCCACACCCAGAACAGGGUCAGUAGCCAAACCAAGGUUGCACAGCUCUCCGGGGAAAUUGCUUAGCCAGCAGGCAUGUCAUCUGAGUCUGGGGGUGAACAUGGAACCCCACUGUCCCCUUCUCCUAACUCUCUCUGGGUCUUUGUUUCCCCAUCAUUGAUGGGACCCCAAAACCAGAGUAUGGAUAGGCAGUCUGAGUCUGCUCAGGAAAGCACCCCUCUGACCAGGACUAAGCCCAGAUGGAGGGGAAAAGGGCAGGCAAGGAAUGGAUCCACAGCCCUGAAGGACAGAACUGAGGGGAGCAGUGAACUGGGAGAGCUCAGCCCACAGACUAUACGGAGCCAAACCUCUGCCUCAACUCUGUCUAGGCUCUUGUAUUUUAUACUUUUCAUCUUAUUUCCUUUUGUGUUUCCCUCAAUUAUUGGCUGAUUUAUUCUCUUCUUAGUAAAAGUUUAUUUUAAACCUUUAAGUUUCCUUAACUUAGGAUGGAAAUUAAAAGGAGGCUCAAUCCAUAGCUAGGCUGAAGAUUAAAAUUGGUGUCUGGCAGGAAGGCAGAGCUGGGAAGGAAUUUGGGGAACUUAUCAACAGAGAGUCAAAUCAACAAACAUCCUUAGUGCUCCAGCCCCACUGCACGCCAGACCCGGGGGCAGAGGAACACGAGAGACAGCGUGGCCUCUGCUUCAGAGGCCAUUGUGCAAGUGGCUAGGAUAACAUGUGAUCGCUGCUUUGAUAAAGGGAACCUGUGGGUUUUGGGGCCCCAUGACAGAGGUGCCAGAACUAGUCUAAGAGGAUUUAAGAGGAGACCUGCUGCUGAUAAGCUGUGUGACCUUAAGCAAGUUGCUUAACUACCCUGAACUUCCUCAGGUGUCAGGAUUUGCUGAGCACUUGCAUUGUAGUCAGUAACAGGGAUGUACAUUUUAGCAGCAAAUGUAGAUGGGACAUAAGUACAAAUGACAGGGGGCCUGGGCUAGGCUGGGGGAAGGUUCUGGGAAGGCUUUCCUGAGGAGUGAGAUUUCAGCCUGGGCCUCAAGGGUGAGCAGGACCAGUGGGUGAAGAAGGCGUAAGAGUGCCCCCAGGGCAAAGGGAUCAGCAUGUGCAAAAGUCCAGAGGCACCGUGCAUCCAAGGCGCUGGAAGGAGGUCAGUAUCGCUGAAGGACAGAGAGUAAUGGAAGGUGAGGAGAGAGGGGAGCUGAGAGAGCCCCAGGAGCUGGACCACCCAGGGACUUGCAGAUGUGGUGAGACUUUGGACUUUAGGAAACUGAAACACAGGAGGGAUUUUAAGCAAGGGAAUGACAUAUCGAACUCAGAGUUUUUUGAGAUCCUUGCAGCUGCCAUGCGGUAAAUACCCCAAAGAGGAACAGAGAGCAUGUGGCAGAAGGUGGAUUUCAUUGUUUGAUGGAGAGAUGAUGGAUGAUGGUGCUUCAGACAAAGCAGGUAGCAGCAGGGAGUACUCAGAUAUUAGAAAACAUUCAGGAGGGAGAAUGAGCAAACAGGUGGAUUUGGUGUGGAAAGCAAGAAGAAGGUACAAAGGAAGAUUGCCAGAGUUCCUGUAAGAGCAGCUGAGAUAGUGGGACACGGGGGAAGAACUGUUUAGGAAACACUCUGAGCUUAGUUUGAAUUCUGAGCAGCUCAGGAGUCAGGAGGCUCUGGAGGGAUCUGGGCUGGAGAUGCUUAAUUGGAAUGGGGGCCAUAUGGGUGGUAACUGCAACCACGAGGGAGGUGGGUGCCAUGGAAGAGGAAGAGAGAGGAGUGAGAAUGAAGAGGACAGAACUGAACCCUGAGCAACUCCAGUGCUCAAAGACGGGCGGGGCGGAAAGCAGGCAGAGGAAGCUGAGAGCCAGCUGUGGGUGUGCAGCCAGCAGGCUCCCAGGAAGGCGUGGCGCCCCUGCAGCCCAGGGAAGAGAGGUUGUGACUGAGCCACGUGCGGUGGGAAGACAAGUCAGAUCAGGAUUGUGAACUGAGCAACCUGGAGGUCACUGGUGACCUCAGCAUUUAAAGUUUUGUUAGGGGAA